AUGUAUAAAUGUUAUCAAUAUGUUCAAGAAUAAUGAGAGAUAUUGUUCAUAUCAAAUGAGUCAAAAAGACCUCUAUUUAUAGGUGGUAGAGGUUGUACGUCCGUUGCUUAAUUGGCAAUCAAUAAUGCUGAUUUUAUGCCAAGAUAAUCGAUUAUUCACUUUGCAUAAUCGAUUAUCUUCGCAACGUUCAUAAAACGGAACGUUGGG
rnacentral:lncRNA from 1 species